rnacentral:rRNA from 1 species
AUUGAACGCUGGCGGCAGGCCUAACACAUGCAAGUCGAGCGGAUGAGAAGAGCUUGCUCUUCGAUUCAGCGGCGGACGGGUGAGUAAUGCAUAGGAAUCUGCCUGGUAGUGGGGGACAACGUAUCGAAAGGAGCGCUAAUACCGCAUACGUCCUACGGGAGAAAGCAGGGGACCUUCGGGCCUUGCGCUUUCAGAUGAGCCGGGGUCGGAUUAGCUAGUUGGUGAGGUAAUUGCUCACCAAGGCGACGAUCCGUAACUGGUCUGAGAGGAUGAUCAGUCACACUGGAACUGAGACACGGUCCAGACGCCUACGGGAGGCAGCAGUGGGGAAUAUUGGACAAUGGGCGAAAGCCUGAUCCAGCCAUGCCGCGUGUGUGAAGAAGGUCUUCGGAUUGUAAAGCACUUUAAGUUGGGAGGAAGGGCAGUAAGUUAAUACCUUGCUGUUUUGACGUUACCGACAGAAUAAGCACCGGCUAACUCUGUGCCAGCCGCCGCCGUAACAC